rnacentral:SRP_RNA from 1 species
UUGCAUCGGCAGAUCAGAACUACCAGCUCCUACUGAAUCCCCCAGGUCCUGACCGAAGCAAGGGUAGGUGGUUGUAGCGGUGAGAUUCUUGAUUUGCCUUUU